rnacentral:rRNA from 1 species
AGUGAGCGCUGGCGGUAGGCCUAACACAUGCAAGUCGAACGGCAGCACAGUAAGAGCUUGCUCUUACGGGUGGCGAGUGGCGGACGGGUGAGGAAUACAUCGGAAUCUACUUUUUCGUGGGGGAUAACGUAGGGAAACUUACGCUAAUACCGCAUACGACCUACGGGUGAAAGCAGGGGAUCUUCGGACCUUGCGCGAUUGAAUGAGCCGAUGUCGGAUUAGCUAGUUGGCGGGGUAAAGGCCCACCAAGGCGACGAUCCGUAGCUGGUCUGAGAGGAUGAUCAGCCACACUGGAACUGAGACACGGUCCAAACUCCUACGGGAGGCAGCAGUGGGGAAUAUUGGACAAUGGGCGCAAGCCUGAUCCAGCCAUACCGCGUGGGUGAAGAAGGCCUUCGGGUUGUAAAGCCCUUUUGUUGGGAAAGAAAAGCAGCAGGUUAAUACCCCGCUGUUCUGACGGUACCCAAAGAAUAAGCACCGGCUAACUUCGU